UAGAGUUUGAUCCUGGCUCAGGACGAACGCUGGCGGCGUGCUUAACACAUGCAAGUCGAACGGAAAGGCCCUUCGGGGUACUCGAGUGGCGAACGGGUGAGUAACACGUGGGUGAUCUGCCCUGCACUUUGGGAUAAGCCUGGGAAACUGGGUCUAAUACCGAAUAGGACCACGCGCUUCAUGGUGUGUGGUGGAAAGCUUUUGCGGUGUGGGAUGGGCCCGCGGCCUAUCAGCUUGUUGGUGGGGUAAUGGCCUACCAAGGCGACGACGGGUAGCCGGCCUGAGAGGGUGACCGGCCACACUGGGACUGAGAUACGGCCCAGACUCCUACGGGAGGCAGCAGUGGGGAAUAUUGCACAAUGGGCGCAAGCCUGAUGCAGCGACGCCGCGUGAGGGAUGACGGCCUUCGGGUUGUAAACCUCUUUCAAUAGGGACGAAGCGCAAGUGACGGUACCUAUAGAAGAAGCACCGGCCAACUACGUGCCAGCAGCCGCGGUAAUACGUAGGGUGCGAGCGUUGUCCGGAAUUACUGGGCGUAAAGAGCUCGUAGGUGGUUUGUCGCGUUGUUCGUGAAAACUCACAGCUUAACUGUGGGCGUGCGGGCGAUACGGGCAGACUAGAGUACUGCAGGGGAGACUGGAAUUCCUGGUGUAGCGGUGGAAUGCGCAGAUAUCAGGAGGAACACCGGUGGCGAAGGCGGGUCUCUGGGCAGUAACUGACGCUGAGGAGCGAAAGCGUGGGGAGCGAACAGGAUUAGAUACCCUGGUAGUCCACGCCGUAAACGGUGGGUACUAGGUGUGGGUUCCUUCCUUGGGAUCCGUGCCGUAGCUAACGCAUUAAGUACCCCGCCUGGGGAGUACGGCCGCAAGGCUAAAACUCAAAGGAAUUGACGGGGGCCCGCACAAGCGGCGGAGCAUGUGGAUUAAUUCGAUGCAACGCGAAGAACCUUACCUGGGUUUGACAUGCACAGGACGCCGGCAGAGAUGUCGGUUCCCUUGUGGCCUGUGUGCAGGUGGUGCAUGGCUGUCGUCAGCUCGUGUCGUGAGAUGUUGGGUUAAGUCCCGCAACGAGCGCAACCCUUGUCCUAUGUUGCCAGCGGGUUAUGCCGGGGACUCGUAGGAGACUGCCGGGGUCAACUCGGAGGAAGGUGGGGAUGACGUCAAGUCAUCAUGCCCCUUAUGUCCAGGGCUUCACACAUGCUACAAUGGCCGGUACAAAGGGCUGCGAUGCCGUGAGGUGGAGCGAAUCCUUUCAAAGCCGGUCUCAGUUCGGAUCGGGGUCUGCAACUCGACCCCGUGAAGUCGGAGUCGCUAGUAAUCGCAGAUCAGCAACGCUGCGGUGAAUACGUUCCCGGGCCUUGUACACACCGCCCGUCACGUCAUGAAAGUCGGUAACACCCGAAGCCGGUGGCCUAACCCUUGUGGAGGGAGCCGUCGAAGGUGGGAUCGGCGAUUGGGACGAAGUCGUAACAAGGUAGCCGUA
rnacentral:rRNA from 2 species